UCUUGCAGUUUCUCAGCCAUCCUGAGCCAAUAACUGUGGCCAGAGGGACAUGCUGCUUGUCAUGUAUCAACUCCUGAAACCAGAGGACAUGAGCAGGAGAAGAUUCUACAAAGAGAUAGUACAUGUACAAACUAGGUCCAAUAUGCACACCGUAUCUUAUUUAUCAACUUACUAACUCUAUAAAAUGUUGUUGUUAUCCUCUUUAUGUAUUGGAGAAAGUAAAACAGGAGAUCCAGUAAACCUGGAAGAAUUUACUAUAGGUAAUUAGGCAUUAUGAAAAUAAAAAGGCAUUAAGCAGAAUGAUGGAAAAUGUGGUAGAGAAAGAGGAAAAGGAAGGGUCAAAUCAGAUAUCAGAUGACAAAGCAACUGUUUUGUCUGAUUGGACAUAAGAAUAAAGGAGAAGAUUGAAGAAGAAUCUAAGUUCAAACUUGGAAGGUUUUCACAGUUUGGUACAAUCAUUGCAAAUUAAGAGGUAGCAAAGGGUCGCUCGGGAGCUCCUAUUGGAGGUGGGAACCUGAGGAUUGAAGAAAUGAUGGAAUCAGCUCAAGUUCUCUGGAACCUCUUUUGGUCACACUGAAAUACCUAUUUAUUCAAUUAUUAUUUGUGAGCUGCUGGUAAGGUUCUAUUUUAUGCCUGUAAAGGCCACAAAGGUGAAAAGAGUAUGCUUUCAGACUUGAAGGCACUUACAUUCUAAUCACAGUAUAAAGCAAUGGUAUUUAUAACUGGAACAUGCCGCAAUAUAAGCACUUCAAGAGAGAUGCCAACAAAGUGGCAAAGUUUGGAGAAGGGAGUAAGCUCGUCCGUUUGGGAGAAGAGGGAAGGCUCUGUGAAGAAAGUGCUAUCUGAGCUCCACCUGAAAGCUCUCCGGUAGGUGUCAGCUAGAAACAUGGUGGAGGGAGUGUGGUCCAGGCUGAGCCACCAGCAUGAGCAAAAAGAAAGAAUGCAUCAAAGAAUAAAAUUUCAACAGAUGAGUCCCAAAGAUCCAAUUGGCUUUUAUUAGCUGUUUAUGAACUGAGCAACAUCCAGUCUACAAAAUAGAAAGGAGCUCCUAUGAGCUAAACAAGUAGGUGAGUUUUAUAGGCAGGAAAAAGUGAAAUGAAUCAGGAACAAUGAGCAAAUAGCAGAUUGGUCAAGACUAUUUUUCUUUAUAGGAAUAUAAAUGAAAUCUUGUUGGUUUCAUGGGAUUUGACUGUCAUCUCUCUCCUGAUUUCUUGAAGGGUCAGAUCUUACAGUAAAAUACAGGUUUUGGUUUGGUGUCAUGGAACCUCUCAGCAUGAAUGACUCCAUUUGGGGUCUGCUGUCUUAUCUUUAACACAUGGAAUGCCAUAAGAUUGAUUCAGGAAACAGUUACCCAUUGACCCAAAAAUGAGGGAUAUGAGAGAGAAGGCUGGUAAGGUAAAGUCAGAGCAUGAAGACUGUUGGGUAGGGAGCUAGACAUGAAGGGGCAGGAGACCCUGAUAGUUUUUAGAACUGGGAAAUGACUUCAAUUUCCCUGCUUUAAGUUCUAGUCAGGCCUGAGUGUGAUACAGUGUGGUUUAAAUUAGCUAUCCAGUAUGGCUUGCAUUAUCCUCUUUGAAGUUGAAUUCUAGCUAGAACAUUUUGCCAUAUACUCAGUGGAAUGCUAAACCAAGCAAGCAUGAGAGCAAGUAGUAUGUGACAAGUAUAAAUUGUUCAACUUGAUCUAAUGUCUUAUCAUUUCAACCUUUAGUUAGGAUUUCUAUUAAAUCCUAAACUCUUAACUGUGAGUGAAGCCAGGACACCAUAAAAUAUAAUUCCAUAUUUUAGCAGAAGUACCAACCCUGAAAGUAGCCAUCUUCUUGGCAUAAUUUUACUGAAGGGAGAGAAAAUACACAAAAAUAAUAGCACAUAGUAAAGUAGAACCUACAUUUUGGCAGGAUUUCUGUAAGUGAUUUAUACACGUAUUAAAGUUGAGAAGCAGUGAAUUAGAGGAUUUUAGAGAAUUCCAGGAUUAAAAUACUCUCUGAGAAAAAGGUAAAGUUAAAGGAUUAAUAUUAGCUUUUGAUUACUCAAGAAUACCUGUAGUAAUAAAAUAUAUGUUUCCAUUUAUAUGAAAUUCUGGAAAAUGCAGACUGCUCUAUAAUGAUAGUAGAUUGGUGGUUUCCUGGAUGUGGAGGGGAGGAGGGACUAUAAAGGGCAUGAGGAAACUUUGUGGAGUGAUGGAAACAUUCUGUAAGUUGAUUGCAGUGGUGGAGAAACAGGUAUAUUCCUUUGCCAAAACUUAAACUGUACAGAGUAGCUGUCUUUAUUUUACAUAAGUUUUACCACAAUUAAGUUGAUAAAGCAUACCUGUUGCAAUUUUUAGACUAAUCAUUAACAUUAAAAGAAUGAAAAAAUGAGGAUGCUACUCACAAACUAGUACAGAGGAAAAAAAGAAUAAAAAAUUCGACCAACCUAAAAGAAGUCAAGGAAAGAAAAGGAAAUAUAGUAAAGGUGAAACAAAUAGAAAACAAUGAAAUGAUGGCAAAUUUAAAUUCAAUUUAUAAUUUACAUUGUACACUGUAGAAAGAGUAGUCCACAAUGAGUGGGACAUUUCUGGAAAAGUUUAAUGAUUGGAUGGUUAAAAUGUCUGGCUUGACCACAUGCAUUUGUCCCCACUCCCUCCCCUAACUUCAAUAAUGUUAGUAAAGAAUAAAAGAAAUCCACAAGACAAUGAAAUUCACAAGAACAAAGAGAAUGGAGGAAAAGAACAGCAGAUGAGAUUUACUAUCUCAAGAAAUUGAACUAAAGAAGUACUAGACGUGGGGCCACCAGGAACCAAUGAAGACAGGGAUGAAGUGUCACACUGAAAACGGAAGUUAAAGGAAAACUCUACAUACUAAAUAAUAAGAUGCUCCCCCCAGCCCCAAUCAUCACCAUCACAUUUCCUUGCCUAGACUGAUGAGGAAGGGGAAAUCUGAUACAAAUUACUGGAAUCUGGUGGUCUAGAAGGGGGCUAAGAGGAAAUUCCAUGAAAACAUUUCUAGUCAGUCCAUCCUUUUAGUUGAAAUAAAUGUUUCAUAGAUCAAAAUUCUUAGGGGUCCUGCCUCUUCCCCCAGUCACAUUGCAAAACACUGGAAGCCAGGUUUUUUUUAGAACUUUGCUGCUGUUUGUUUUUGUUUUUUGAGAUGGGGUCUGGCUGUGUUGCACAGGGUGGAAUGCAGUGGUGUGAUCACAGCUCACUGCAGCCUCAACCUCCCAAGCUCAAGCGAUCCUCCCACCUCAGCCUCCUGAGUAGCUGGGACUUCAGGGACACAGCAUCAUGCCUCGAUAAUUUUUUUUUUUUUUUUUAAGAGACAGGGUCUCACUUUGUUGCCUAGGCCGGUCUUGAACUCCUGUGCUCAAGCAGUGCUCCCAACUUGGCCUUCUAACAUGCUGGGAUUAUAGACAUGAGCCACCAUCCACAGCCAGAACCUUGCUACUUAGAUUGUUGUCCAAGAACCAAUAGUAUUGACAUCUCCUGGGAGUUGGUUAAAGAUGUGGAAUUUUAGGGCCCACUCUAGACCUACCAAACCAGAAUCUGCGUUUUAAGAUCUCCCUACAUGAUUCAUGUGCGUAUUCAGGUUUGAGAAGCAAUGGAUUACAGAAUGUUAGAGAAUUCCGUGAUUCCUCUCUGAAGAUGGAGAAAAGACCUAUUUAUGAAUACUGGUGAUGGAACAUCUUCACUAAAACAUCCAGCCUGUCACCUUUUGCCUUAUGCUGAAGCUCACCUGGUAUCAAACAUUCCCCACCCCUACCCCAACACACAGAGUUUUAAACAGCUUUUAAAAAAAUUACCUCAACGUUGAAUAAACAAUCAAAAACCAACAGAUAUAUGAGGAAAGUAUCAUGA
ensembl:lncRNA